rnacentral:rRNA from 1 species
GUCUUUUCGUUAAAAAUUUAAAGUCGGGCCUGCCCACUGAAGUUUUAAAUGGCCGUGGUAUUUUGACCGUGCUAAGGUAGCAUAAUCAUUAGUUUUUUAAUUGAAAGUUGGAAUGAAGGGUUUGAUAAAAAAAUGACUGUCUUUAUUUAAUUUUAGUAGAAUUUUAUCUUCAAGUUCAAAAGCUUAAUUUAUGUUAAAAGACGAGAAGACCCUAUAGAGUUUAAUAAUAUAAUAUAAUUUUUAUUUUAGAAUUAAUUUAUUUAUUAUUUAUAUUAUUUGAUUGGGGUGAUUGGAAAAUUUAAUUAACUUUUUUUAUAUUAAACCAUUAAUUUAUGAUUAUUUGAUCCAAUUAUUUUGAUUAUAAGAUUAAAUUACCUUAGGGAUAACAGCGUAAUUUUUUUAGAAAGUUCAUAUUAAAAGAAAAGAUUGCGACCUCGAUGUUGGAUUAAAAUUUAAUUUUGGUGUAGAAGCUAAAAAGUUUAAGUCUGUUUGAGUUUUAAAAUUUUACA